CCCGGUGGCAAUGGCGAAGGGGCCACACCCGUUCCCAUCUCGAACACGGAAGUUAAGCCCUUCUGCGCCGAUGGUACUGCCUGGGCAGCUGGGUGGGAGAGUAGGACGCCGCCGGGA
rnacentral:rRNA from 1 species